rnacentral:rRNA from 1 species
UCCCGGGAAAUGGCUACCUAAAGAAAAUUGUACUUAAAUUGUUUUUUAUUUAGUUUUUAUUUUUUUUUAAUUUUAUUUUUUAGGUAAAAUUUAAAAAUUAUUAAAAUUUGUAUACUAAAUAAUAAGAUUUUGUUUUAAAAUUGGAUUAGUACCCAAGUAUAAAAAAUUUAAAAGUGCAGUAUUAAAGUAAAAUUUAAACUGAAAAAAUAUUGGCAGAUUUUUUAAUUAUCUUUGGAGGUUGAAAUAUAAUUGAGAACCCUCAUUAACAGCUUUUUCUUUUGAUUUAUGUAUGAUCGUUUAUUUAAUUUUUAAGAAAUUUAAUUAAAAUUUAUUAUUAUUAAAAUAGAUAAAUACCUAGUUUAUGAAAAAGUUUAAAUUUUGACCUACAAUAUUUUAUAAUGUGGAUUAUAAUUUUAGUUUUUUAUAUGAAAAUGUAAAAGACAGUAAAAAUAUUUUUAUGU